GGCGGUUUGGCCGAGUGGUCUAAGGCGAUUGACUAGAACGUUCUUGAGAUCAAGCUAAAUGAAAUCAAGUAUCCUUAAUCAAUUCCGUUCGCGGGCGCAUGUUCGAAUCAUGCAGCCGUCG
rnacentral:tRNA from 4 species